CUGGCUCAGGAUGAACGCUGGCGGCGUGCCUAAUACAUGCAAGUCGAGCGAGAAAUCUUUCAGACAAAUCUCGGAAGCGUCAGAGAGAUGGAAAGCGGCGGACGGGUGAGUAACGCGUAGGCAACCUGCCCUUAGCAGAGGGAUAGCCAUUGGAAACGAUGAUUAAAACCUCAUAAUGCUGGAGAAGCACAUGCUUCAUCAGCCAAAGAUUUAUCGGCUAAGGAUGGGCCUGCGUCUGAUUAACUAGUUGGUGAGGUAACGGCUCACCAAGGUGACGAUCAGUAGCCGACCUGAGAGGGUGAUCGGCCACAUUGGAACUGAGACACGGUCCAAACUUCUACGGAAGGCAGCAGUAAGGAAUCUUGCACAAGUGGGGGAAACCCUGAUGCAGCAACGCCGCGUGAACGAUGAAGGCCUUAGGGUUGUAAAGUUCUGAUCUGUGGGAAGAAGAAAGUGACGGUACCACAGGAGAAAGCCCCGGCUAAAUACGUGCCAGCAGCGGC
rnacentral:rRNA from 1 species